rnacentral:misc_RNA from 1 species
GAUGAAGACGCAGCGAAAUGCGAUACGUAGUGUGAAUUGCAGAAUUCAGUGAAUCAUCGAAUCUUUGAACGCACAUUGCACCUCUCGGUAUUCCGGGAGGUAUGCCUGUUCGAGCGUCAUUUGUACCCUCAAGCUCUGCUUGGUGUUGGGUGUUUGUUCCGCCUCUGUGUGUGAACUCGCCUCAAAACAAUUGGCAGCCGGCGUACUUGUUUCGGAGCGCAGCACAUUUUGCGAUCCAGAUCAACGUACAGCGGCAUCCAAGAAGCCUUAUUUAACGCUCUUGACCUCGGAUCAGGUAGGGAUACCCGCUGAACUUAAGCAUAUCAAUAAGCGGAGGA